rnacentral:rRNA from 1 species
AUUGAACGCUGGCGGCAGGCCUAACACAUGCAAGUCGAGCGGUUGAAGGGAGCUUGUUCCUGUCUUCAUCGGCGGACGGGUGAGUAAUGCCUAUGACUCUGCCUCUUCGUGGUGGAUAACGUUCGCAAACGGGCGCUAUUACCGCAUCCGUCUUGCGUCAGAAAGUCGGGGAUCUUCGGAUCUCACGCUCUCAGAUGAGCCUAUGUCGGAUUAGCUAGUUGGUGGGGUAAAGGCCUACCCAGGCGACGAUCCGUAACUGGUCUGAGAGGAUGAUCAGUCACACUGGAACUGAGACACGGUCCAGACUCCUACGGGAGGUAGCAGUGGGGAAUAUUGGACAAUGGGCGAAAGCCUGAUCCAGCCAUGCCGCGUGUGUGAAGAAGGUCUUCGGAUUGUAAAGCACUUUAAGUGGGGAGGAAGGGCAGUAAGUUAAUACGUUGAUGUAUUGACGUUACCAACAGAAUAAGCACCGGCUAACUUCGUG